GGCUUAGAGUUUGAUCAUGGCUCAGGAUAAACGCUGGCGGCGCACAUAAGACAUGCAAGUCGAACGGACUUAACCAUUAGUUUACUAUUGGAGCGGUUAGUGGCGGACUGGUGAGUAACACGUAAGCAACCUGCCUGUUAGAGGGGAACAACAGUUAGAAAUGACUGCUAAUACCGCAUAUGCCUUAAUAUCUGCAUGGAUAUAGAGGGAAAGGAGCAAUCCGCUAACAGAUGGGCUUGCGUCUGAUUAGAUAGUUGGUGGGGUAACAGCCUACCAAGUCGACGAUCAGUAGCCGGACUGAGAGGUUGAACGGCCACAUUGGGACUGAGAUACGGCCCAGACUCCUACGGGAGGCAGCAGUCGGGAAUAUUGCGCAAUGGAGGAAACUCUGACGCAGUGACGCCGCGUGCAGGAAGAAGGUUUUCGGAUUGUAAACUGCUUUAGACAGGGAAGAAAAAGGACAGUACCUGUAGAAUAAGCUCCGGCUAACUACGUGCCAGCAGCCGCGGUAAUACGUAGGGAGCAAGCGUUAUCCGGAUUUAUUGGGUGUAAAGGGUGCGUAGACGGGAAAUCAAGUUGGUUGUGAAAUCUCUCGGCUUAACUGAGGAACUGCAACCAAAACUAAUUUUUCUUGAGUGCUGGAGAGGAAAGUGGAAUUUCCUAGUGUAGCGGUGAAAUGCGUAGAUAUUAGAGGAUACUNGUGGCGAAGCGACUUUCUGGACAGUAACUGACGUUGAGGCACGAAGUGUGGGGAGCAAACNNAUAGAUACCCUGGUAGUCCCNNNUAACGAUGGAUACUAGUGUAGGGAUGAUAUCUCUGUGNCGUCGCAAACGCAGUAGNAUCCAACUGGGGAGUACGNNNNGNGAA
rnacentral:rRNA from 1 species